rnacentral:lncRNA from 1 species
ACAACACCAACUUUCGUUUUUAUAAGAGCUUCAUUUUCUGAUUACCAAAAUAUUACACAUUUAUGGUAUUGAAGUGGAACAUUCGACAAAUACAACAAAAUCAUUAGUUUGUGAUCUCAAGUCAAAACACAACCCAGAAUACGUCUACGGAACCUCUAAGUGAAAAUGGUACAAUAUGGGAAUGCCGACAACUAGGCCCUGGCUAUUUCUCAAAACACAAUUUGCAAAAUAAAAGGACAUAAGGCCCUGAAGUAGAAUAAGGCUCACCAAAUCAGCUGAGAAGAGGGUACACCUAUCAAGAACCUAAGCCACCAAUUACGGAACCACCUGCAUCCAUUAAAGAUGUAGCGCCCCCGACAAAAGGGAUAUUAGUAUAUAUGGAAUAGUACUAGUAUGUAAAGAUAAUUACCCUCAUAUAAAAUGGAACAAGAAACAUAAGUUGGGAAAACAUGAAAGAGUAGCAAAUGAAUACAAGUGUAAAUGGAUACAAGUGUGUCGUAAUAUAAAACACAGUGUGAGUGAAACCUUCAAACAUACCUUUUGAAUUUAGUUUGGGAAAUCAUUAGCUACCAACACAAACUAUCAUGCUCAUGGCAUGGAGUCUGAUCAUCGCUCGACCGACUAAGUCAUCUCACCAUGAUGUAUAUAUGGAUCAACAUGGUAAGGUGAAUCCAAUAUAAUAUCAAGAAUGACUACCCACCAAGCUCAUGGCAUGGAGUCUGAUCACCCCUAGACCGACUAAUCCAUCACACCCAGAUCCAUAAGGGUUGACAUAACAACACAAUACCAUUAUAUACGCGGCAUAGCAUCCGAUCAUUGCUUGAUCGACUAAGACAUCUCACCACGAUGUUGUGUGGAUCAACAUGGGAGCUUAGACUGAUGCUAGUAAUAAAUUCAUCCCAAUUAAGGGGAAUAAUCUCAACACAAUAUUACAGGGAAUUACCCCUCAAUCAAUUCCUACACUGGCAUUUCAGUUGUAGGCCUAUAUAACCUAUACCUUCUCGGUUAUGUAAUGAUACUCUCAAAAACAAUAUUAUAUAAAUAAAAUACUCAUCUCAUAUCCCUUUAGAAAGUCCUUUCAUUUCCUUCGUACUUUUGGCCACACAUUUAACAUGAUGGCCGCAUUUUAUAUUCCAUACUUUCAUUCUUUUACUUUUGAGGAUCGCUAUAAAAUACCAAUACGUAGAACAUUUGGAAAUCAUUGCUUCAAAAGUAUGCGUAAAAAUAGCCUUAAGCGGAAUGAAUUUCUCCCAAAAGGAGAGCAUAGUUAUUUGCAAUUGAAGCAUGGGUUUAAAUCAUAUCAUUUGAUGUGUCAAUCAUGCUUGAAACAUUUUUAGUAAGAAUAGAAUGGCAAUAGAAAAUAGGGAAUGUGUAGAUCUUUAUGAGCAUUUAGUAAUUCAAUCUUUUUAAUGCACCUCAGUCAUGAUGAUUCAUGGUAUAAAAAUCAUUACUUCAUUUUCAUGUGCAUAUGACUAUCAAAAGAAAUUGCUAAACAUUUCCAAGGAAGGGAGCAUGGCAUUGGCUAUCAAGACAUAUACAGAAAUCUCAUGAACACUUGGAAUACAACCAUCGGAAGCAAUCCGUAAUAAUGGAAAUAGGAACUAGGACAACCAUGCUUGGAAUUCAUGCGGGAAUCAGGGAAUCUGAUUCUAUAGAAAGAGUUUAGGCAGCAUACAUUGAUGGAGCUCUUUAGUGAUACUAAGACCACCCACUACUCUUACAACUUAAAUAUACAUCAACAUAAUUCAAUUGGACCGAUUUUAGUAAAAAUUUCUAGGUUUUAGGUUAUUUUGGCAUUUUAUCAAACACCUAGAAUGCAUAGCAUUGUACUACCCCUAGUAAUGGUGUUUCUUCAUCCAACAAUCCCUCCUUCCCACCAACAAGAGAUACUACAACAUCCUCUGUUCACCAACUAGCUUAUUUAGCACCAUUAUAAUCAACAAUGAACUCACAUCCACCAAAUUUUACUAAUUAACUCAUUACAAAAUUUCUACAACAUCCAAUUAUCUAGGUUAAGCCCUUGUGGCUUCCAAUCACCAGCCCAUAAGUGCUAAUACUUAUUUCUUGCUCAUAAUUCAUUAAAUAUUCAUGCAUGUAGGUUUAAGGGUAAAAUAUUACCUCUUGUAGAUCAAAUCUUGAAAGCCAACUUUUGGGGUGUUCUUGAGAUUUUGAAGAAAUCCUAUAGAAUUCAACAAAAAACCUUGUUGUAACUAGUGAUUGAGAAGUGAAAUCAUCAUAAAAACACACUUAAAAACUCACCUUAACUGUGCAUUGCUGCAUAUGGCGGGAGCUAGCAUUGAAUAUGUACUCGUUGUCCUGACAUGGCUACCACUUGUUCUUGGUAGUUUUAGAUUUGAGUUCUAUUUUUGUAUUUUCAAAUAGAUGUGAUAAUUAUGCUUCAUACCAGCUUUGUAAAUUCUAAGUCUUAGAAGCUCAUGAUCUGUAUUACAAAUCCUUGUAAUUUAAAGUUUAGUUAUUUUAUUCUUUGGCUCCUAUGUUUCUUAUUUGAGGUGUGUAUAAUUGGCUUACCUAGCAGGUUGGGUUAAGUGCCAUCACAGCUAACCAGAUUGUGGGUUGUGUCAUAUGUCUUGUUGACGAGUUCAGAAUCUGGAAGGUUUAGUGAUUGCAUAGUAGUGUGGCCAUGAAAGGGCAUAGAGAGAUGCUAGUUUGAGACCAAUCAGGUUGGUUAUCUCCUACGGGAUGUUCUGAGGUUGUCUUAUUCUUAUGAUAAUUAUAUGGAGAUUUUCUUUCUAUUGGUGGGUUACAAGUGUUGCAAUUUGAGUUUGGAUCACUUGAGGAAAUUGGUUUGACUAUCAUGACGAUGAAUGUGAGCUUAGCAGAUGAAUUGAGGUAUUUUACGAUUUGUGUUACAUCAAAUUAUGAAGGAUUUAGUUGAAUUACAGUGCGAGAUUAUGGCAGUUAUAGAGUAAGGGUAUUGUGGGUUAUCAAAUAUUUUGUUCUACGGCUUCGAACCAAGUGGGGGAGUCCACUUUCGAUGAUUUGAUUGCAUGGUUAUGUGUUAUAGUAAUUUUGGUCUGAGGCAUACUUGUGAAUUGGUUAUGACUUGAAGACGUUGAUUUCGAGGAUGACUCGAGUAAGGAAAAUUCUAGAUGCAUGAUGUGUUACACUUUAUGGAUAUAUGGAAAUCUUGAAAUGAUUUGAGUUUGUUAUUUCUGAUGGAUGUAAUAUGUUAAUAAAAGGGAGCCACUAGAUUGCGUUAAGGUGAGGAUUACUUAUUUAGGUUUUGGCGUGCUAACGGAGCACAUAUCAUUCGGCUCGUUUUGGUGGUGCAUUAGAGAUUAGUGUAGAGUGGAUAACUCUCGAGAAAGUUCUAAUGGGUUCAUGAUUCAUAUGUGGUAUAUGAGGAAUUUAUGGAUUUGUAAAGGAUUAGAUAUAAUAUUUGUUUUGGAUGGUGUCAGGACCCGCGGUAUGUCCUUAUCACUAUGGAUCCCACAUUUCAGUAUCAGAGAGGUUAAAAAACAACUUUAGAUUUGCGGAAGGUCUUUUUAGGGUGUGUAUCUUGGUUGCGGUAUUCUUUGGCGUCUAAGGUGGAAUAUACUGGCUUAUGGAUCUUGAGACAACGUGAUAUCAUGCUAGGAUAACUAGUAGUGAACUUUGGAUUAUGAAUCGAAGUAUACUAGCAAGGAGAAGUGUUAACUUAAUGGCAAGUCGAGGGGACUCGAAGAAAUAGGACAGUUUGGUGGUAGAUCAGAUCAGUAUUGUGAUAGAAAUGAUCAAUUCUUUUGGUUCUUAUGAUAUGGUGAGGCUUUAUCGGUGUUUUGUUGCAUUACUCUUGGGGGUGGCGACUUGCGUGACUUAGCUGAGUUAGAAGGAUUCAGUUCUGAUGGAUUGGUUAUGUGAAAACAAGUUUCGAAGAGUUCUCGUUGGUGUCGACCAAGGUUUGGGGCAAAUGUAUUUGACAGGGAUGAUGAGUAUAUUGGAUGUUGUAAUUUUUCUCUCAGAUGUGGGGCCUAGUGGUAAAUUUCUAGCUGAUUGAGUAUGUAUCCUGCAUGUGAAUUAGAGUUGAUUAUGGGAUUCUUGUGUUUUCAUAUGAUGGAAUGAUAGAUGAGGUGUGCAUCGUAUGAGAUUGAGGUUUGUAUGUACAAUGUUGCGGUUCAACUUUGAAGGGAAAUCCAUGAAUUUUAGAUAACACAAACAGUUUUAGAUGUUAAGAAGAAUGUUAGUACUAAUUGGUAUCACCUAAGGAGGGUGCGCAUUUUAGUGGACGUAUCGUGUUGGGCUUGCAGAUGCUUGACUAGUAUUACGGUAAUCACCUGGUUUCUCAACUAUAGAUGUUCAGAUUUUGCUAUAUGGCACGGAAGAAUUAUGGAUGUAUUUCUCGCAGGAUGAUUGAGUAUGAGAGAUGAGUUAGUCAUUCGAGUGGUGGAGAUGGGAUCGAAUAUGGUAAUUCUUGUAUUCUAGGGAUUUGGAGACUUGGAGGGUUCUCAGAGGCAGAUUAUUCUUUGGUUGUGAACCGUGAAGGUAUGGCAAAAGUUAGACAACUAGUAGUAUGUGUAAUGGUUAGGUUAUUAUGGACUUUUGAAGGAUUAUUUAUUUAUUUAUGGAUGGUCAGAGUUGAUUUGGGGGCCCAUUAGUAGGCCUAACGAGGAUGUGCAUUCUACAUCGGGUCGAAUUUAUUGACUCAUCAAUUCUAUUUUUGAGUGGUGUGUCAUUCAAUUAGAGUUGAGCUUGUUCAUGUAUUGAUAUGUUCUAUGUAUCACUCUUCUAUGCUAUGAUGGGUUGUGAUCUGUUGGGUAUUUGCACACAUGAUACAUUUCUGUUUGAGCCUUAUGGCAAAAUUCGAGCGAGAUGGUUCUUAAAGUGUUGAAUGGUUGAUUGCGCUUUUGCUAUGGCCUUCGUGCUUGUGGUAUAUUGUUCUAUCUAUUUCUCCAUGAAUAUGAUAAUGAACUUCAUGUGUUUGUUGUUGAUUUUCGUAUGGUUAUUGAUUUUGGGCAUUAUAGCUUGAGGUAUUUCAUGUGGAUUGGUGUUUGGAUAUGGUCACAAGUGCAGCAAAGUUACAUUGGGAUAUGUUCCUUUGUGUUAGAUCCAUGUGUCUUGGUUCUAUUAUGUGUGAUGGGUUCAUAGCAUUACGUUUGUGGUAAUAUAUGUUGAGGUUGCGGGACGGUCCUCUCAUUUGAUUUUCUUUCCAACAUUCGAGUUGUUGCUUGUUUGGAUGUAAGGAUCGCGUGGCAUAUGGCUAUAGAUGGUAUUUGUGUGGCAUGUCAGUUGAGUAUCUUUUACUUGAUAAGAUGAGGUCAUUGGACCUGGAAUGAGUACUAUCGGAUUUGAUUACGGUAUGUUUGGAAGAAUAAUGUUAGUUGUCAGCUUAGAAUUUGGCUAUGGUUCUUGUUGGGCGAGAGAGCUCCAGAACUUGUUGGACUGAUGAGUGGUUAUGAGUAUCUAUGUGUUCCCUUCAUCAUUGGUAGUGUACAAAGGUUCAUAAUAAGUUUUCAAUUGUUAGGAGGAUUAUUAUCGGUACCGGGCUUGUUAAUGGACAGUUAUUAUGCUCGGAAGUUAUUGCUAUGGGUAUAUGGGUUAUGUGGUAUAUCAUGUGAUUAUAUCUUGGGUUAUGAUUAUGUCUUGGUACAGCUUGUUCAGACUUGCGCAGUGUUUGGAUGUGAGAAUUGGGUCUUUAAUGUAUUCCGGAUGUUGGAGAUUUGAUUCUAAGGUUAUGGGCUAAGGUUGAAGUGAGGAUCCUUGUCACACCUCCUUUUUCUACCCCGGAAAGGGGUAUAAAGGAGUUUUUCCAAUUAAAGUGACAAUAAUCGAAAUGGGAUUAUUUAUUAAAAUUCAGAGUCUCCACUUGGGGUAAUUUAUGGUGUCCCAAGUCACCGGUUUAAAAUCCCGAAUCGAGUAAGUUUGACUCUGUUUUACAGUCCGCGAAACAUAGAAAUUCGGGUAAAGAACUCUGUUAACCCGAGAGAAGGUAUUAGGCAUUUUCGGGUUCUGUGGUUUUAGCAUGGUCGUCAACUAUUAUUAAUUGGUUUAAUUAUCUGAUUAAUUACACGUUUAAAACCUAUUGUGUAUUUUUAACCUUUUAAAACCGCUUUUAGUUAUUUAAGGAAUUUGUCAGAACAAGUCGCGAUGUCGCGCACUCGUUUAUUUUGUACACAUUGUAAAUUGCGUUACGGGAACCGUACCCACGAUCUACAACGUAUUUAAUUGUGGAAGGG